UGGAUAAUUCUUAUAGUUGACAUUUCUCUGGGCCAAUCAGAACCUUAGCACUUGCUUUGCAUGAUUCAAAGUUCAAAAAAAAUUAUUUUUUCUUAUACUGAUUCCUCAUGUAGGCCUUCAUUUCAGCCUCUCUCUGAACAAGCUGUAGAUGCUCCUGUCACUUUAAGACCCCCCCUCUCAAAGCCCACUGUCUUCUGAUUGGCCAAGAACUGAAGCAUGUAUUACGUAGAACAGAGCCGUUGGUAGAAAAAGCAGUUCAAAACAGAGCGUUCAGAACAGGAGGAAACCUGAGGUUAUUGCUCACAGUGAUUUCUUAUAAAUGCUUUAACCUAAUCUUUUAAAGGUUUGGCCAUGUUUAACAUGAACAUCCAACAUUAUAACAUUGUAGAUAAGUCAUAAAAUGUGGAAAUGCAUAAUAGGUCUCCUUUAACAAAGUGUGUCCUUUUUGAAAGGUAGGAGGCAAACCACUGAUAAACAGUUCCCCCAGUUUUAAUACUUGGCAGACGGUCCCAAGAGGAGGGAAUAUGAUACAGCGUCGAAGCCUGCUGUGAGGUCCAGGAGGACGAGAAUGGAGAGUAUACCAGAAUCUGCUGCUCUGAGGUGAUCUUACCCAGGGCAGUUUCUGUGCUAUGGAAUUUUUCAAGGAGAUUAUUUUUUAUUGAGGUAGGUCUGUAGUUGAGAUGCAACAACCCUAAGUAAGUUGGAAAUUGGCUUGUUCUUGUGGUCAUUGCAGUCUAAACCAGGUUUUUUCAGUGUUGGCCUGAUUAUAGCAAUUCUCAGAAAGGUGGAAGCAGACCAGUGGACAGUUGAUGAUGUUAUUAGAUAAAUUAUAGAAGGCAAGCACGCUUUAACUCAGGUUGUGGGGACUGGAUCCAGGUGACAUGUGGAGUUAUUGGACUUAUAAUAAUAUAAUUUCAGAAAUAUGACUUUCAGUCUGAAGGCUGACAUCACAAAAGAGGGUGGAUGCAGGCAAUGACAAACUGCUUUUUGGAUGUAGGUUGGUCUGCAUGAUGUUCACAGAGCCAAGAUGGUUAUGAAUUGCAGCAAUUUGAGUUGAAGUAUUGAGGUUUAUGUUGUAGUGGCAGCCCGGCUGAAGGUGAGUGUCCUGGUCUGCCUGUCUGUGUCCUCCUCUCCCCCUGUGUGUGCUCUCCCUCUCUCUCUGACAAUCCACACCUGCACCUCGUCAGCCUCCUCCUCUGCCUGCCACACCUGCCAGAAAUCAACUCCAUCUCAACCCUUAUUCUCCACACAAUCUCUGCUUGAUCGUCGUUGCUCCUAACACGGUGCCACUUCUUCACUCGAGCUCUUGUGUAACCUGCAUCAUCCUUGUUUCCUUUUUCUUGGCUUUCCCUGUGUCUAACCGUCUGUCUGUCUUCCCUCCAGGUUCGCUCAUCUCCGUCCUCCGUCUUGUCAGCUGGACUCGCCAACCUGCCCUCUCCUCUUGGAUCCAUAGACAGUAUAUUACUGGACGAAGCCACCCCGCUGAUUUGAAUGGAGAGCAUUGAACGAAUAAAAUACUACUACAGGGCUGCUUCCUGUUGGCACCAGAGUCUACUGCGCGUGAUCGCACAGCAUAAGACACAGUUAAAUGACGGAGAGCAAUGACAGAAACACCUUAGUUCUGGUAGCUGCUCCCCCCAAAAAUAUUUAGGCUGUUUGACUUGGAUUGUGACUUUGACAUCGUCAACGACUUCGAGUACUUCCAGUUAUGUUCUGAUUCACUGAGCUGUUAAGAGUUAUUGCUUUUGGUACAGUUAAUUUAAGCUAAUAUAAGAGCAGUACAAUAUAUUGGCUAAAUGCAGUUUAGAAGUCAUGUUAUAAAGUGAUAACAUAAUAAAUUGUCAGUAACGUUACAGAUCAGAGAGAAGGGGCUGAGAGAGAGGAGGGGUCCCGCCAGUAGGCCAGAUCCGGGGCCACAGACAGGGGACGCCCUCAAAGGGCGCCGUCUCUAUCUUACCAGGUCGACAUGCAGGCGGAUGAACCACCGCUGCAGCCUCCUCAUGUGGAGAAGGCCCACGAGCCUCAUGACCGACAGAGCAGCUCCAUCAGAGCAUCCACCCUCUCCUGAGAGAGUCGCGCUCUCCAGAGAGAGGAGUCCUGUACGACGCCAAGGUAGAUUUAUUCUUCCUGGAAGCCAGCGGGGCCACAACAGAAAACGUGCCACAUGGGACAUCCUUGCCAACAUGUUCCAUGAUGUUGGGAAGAGGAUUGGAAAGGGAUGACUGACAAAACUCUCUAUGGCAAUGGAGACGUUGCUCCUAUAUGCUGUGAGGGUCAACUCUCCCGUGCUGCCACAGAUGAUAUUAUCUUAAAGCAGAAAAUAUGGUGUUUCAACCUGGCAGCAGAGAGGGGGAGAAGCUCAAGGAGAUGUGCCACUAUCAGCAUCCUUAUGGAAGAUCCGCCCACUGUUAAUUCCUUAAGAAAAAGUAUUUAGGUAUGUAGGGGUUCUGCAUGUCUUGAAACAUGUUAAAGUUAGUCUUUUUCAUUAAAUAAAAAAUGCAUUUGAUAAUUUU